rnacentral:rRNA from 1 species
CAGUAGCCGCGGUAAUACGGAGGGAGCUAGCGUUGUUCGGAAUUACUGGGCGUAAAGCGCGCGUAGGCGGUUACUCAAGUCAGAGGUGAAAGCCCGGGGCUCAACCCCGGAACUGCCUUUGAAACUAGGUGACUAGAAUCUUGGAGAGGCCAGUGGAAUUCCGAGUGUAGAGGUGAAAUUCGUAGAUAUUCGGAAGAACACCAGUGGCGAAGGCGACUGACUGGACAAGUAUUGACGCUGAGGUGCGAAAGCGUGGGGAGCAAACAGGAUUAGAUACCCGAGUAGUCCCUGUCUCUUAUAC